rnacentral:rRNA from 1 species
GACGAACGCUGGCGGCGUGCUUAACACAUGCAAGUCGAACGGAAAGGCCCUGCUUUUGUGGGGUGCUCGAGUGGCGAACGGGUGAGUAACACGUGAGUAACCUGCCCUUGACUUUGGGAUAACUUCAGGAAACUGGGGCUAAUACCGGAUAGGAGCUCCUGCUGCAUGGUGGGGGUUGGAAAGUUUCGGCGGUUGGGGAUGGACUCGCGGCUUAUCAGCUUGUUGGUGGGGUAGUGGCUUACCAAGGCUUUGACGGGUAGCCGGCCUGAGAGGGUGACCGGUGAGAGGGGGAGGCGGCGGCGGGCCCGGGGGCGGAGGGAGGAAGGAGUGGGGAAGAGGGGAGGGUGGGGGUCAGGAGGGGGCGGCAAGGCGGGGGGGGGGAUGAGGGCGUAGGGGUAGUGAGCCGCUGGGGGGGGGGAAGGAGGGGGAGGGGAGGUAAGGGGUAAGGGAGCACGAGCAAACGAAGUGAGAGAAGCAGCGGGAAUAAAGGGAAGAGCAAACGUCUGAAC